GACGAACGCUGGCGGCGUGCUUAACACAUGCAAGUCGAGCGGUAAGGCCCUUUCGGGGGUACACGAGCGGCGAACGGGUGAGUAACACGUGGGUGACCUGCCCUCAGCUUGGGGAUAAGCCUGGGAAACCGGGUCUAAUACUGGAUAUGACUCCAUGACGCAUGUUGUGGGGUGGAAAGCCUUGUGCGGCUGAGGAUGGGCCCGCGGCCUAUCAGCUUGUUGGUGGGGUGAUGGCCUACCAAGGCGACGACGGGUAGCCGGCCUGAGAGGGCGACCGGCCACACUGGGACUGAGACACGGCCCAGACUCCUACGGGAGGCAGCAGUGGGGAAUCUUGCGCAAUGGGCGAAAGCCUGACGCAGCGACGCCGCGUGAGGGAUGACGCUCGU
rnacentral:rRNA from 1 species